CUUGCAUAGACAUCACCUCAUACAAAACACCCAGAGGUUCCUCGGUCUGCAAGCUCAUCAGCUCUGGAGUGUCCGGUUCCACCUGAUAAUGGUGUGCUGCUGCCCUUGGGGUGGAAUUCUGCUGCACUUGGUUCCACGCCUGUCUACUCCGAUUCUGAGUGCACUCCCGGGACAUAUGCCCCCACUGACGGCAGGUAUGGCAUUGGAUGUUUGCCCUGGCAUUGUAGCGGGAUGGUGGUGGGGGGUUCCCUUGUGCUGGC